rnacentral:rRNA from 1 species
GUUCGACGUGGGCGCAGCCUGACCGCAAUGCCGCGUGAGUGAAGAAGGCCUUCGGGUUGUAAAGCUCUUUUGUCAGGGAAGAAACGGUGGACUCUAAUACAGAUCACUAAUGACGGUACCUGAAGAAUAAGCACCGGCUAACUACGUGCCAGCAGCCGCGGUAAUACGUAGGGUGCAAGCGUUAAUCGGAAUUACUGGGCGUAAAGCGUGCGCAGGCGGUUUGGUAAGACAGAUGUGAAAUCCCUGGGCUCAACCUAGGAAUUGCAUUUGUGACUGCCCGACUAGAGUGUGUCAGAGGGGGGUAGAAUUCCACGUGUAGCAGUGAGGGGGGGAGAGAUGUGGAGGAAUACCGAUGGCGAAGGCAGCCCCCUGGGAUAACACUGACGCUCAUGCACGAAAG